CUUCAGAAACAAAGAAGAAUAACUAUCUACCUCUCUCUCUCUUUCUAUCUCUAUCUUUCUAUCUCUAUCUCUCUAUCUCUAUCUCUCUCUCCUCCGUAAGAACAAGAAGCUGAAGUUUCAUCAAAAAAAAACCAUGGAUUUCUACUAAAUCAACGCACAAAAUUCGUUUUUGGUGAAGAUCAAGUUGCUCCUCUUGGUAUAUAAAUCCUUGAAAAAAAUCAACGGGGAAGUGUUUGAGGAAGUGGACAGAUUUGGUUUGUUUACGGCGUAGACGAUUCGAACGUCCCCAAGUUAUGAUUGAACUGUUUUGUGGUAAAACACCAAGGUUUGUGUAUAAACUUGUACUCUUUUUGCUUGCUGGAAAUAUGUUGAAAUAACCUGAUAUUUUAUUUU